AUUAGAAUCAGUGUUGUCAAUGUAGUUAUUAACGAGAAUAGGCUCCUAUUCAGAAAGAUUAUUCAACCCUCUUCCUAGUUUAUCUCCUAGAUCCGUACCCUUCCUGAAUUUUUCCUUAUGGGUUUAUGAGAGAGAACAAUUCCGCUUGGCGUAUAGAACAUACCUUCACAAGGGUCUCACAUAAUGAUGUGGGAAGAAUGAAAAAAAGGAAGGUCAGAUAAUGAGGUAGCCCUGAUUAUUCUCUUUUAAUUUCGCCCUAAUUCAAACAAAACCCUUCCCAACCUCUUCAUCCCCAUCCCUACCUUCCCUCACUGAUGAUAGUGGGACAACGCCGUCGAAAUUAGCUUCGUUUCCGACCAGCAACAAAGACAGUGAAGAAGAAAAAGUGUGAACCAUGAAGUCGAAGAUUUGUCGACAUUGAAGAAGUUCGAACCUUGCUCUGAUCUUCGACCACCGCGAAACAACCACUGCGCCCAAUUGAAGAAGACACCUCUUUCCGUUUAUACAUCUCAACAUGAGAGGAAGGAAUGUCGAAAUAUGUCACAGUUAUCGAAGCAAUUGGCGCUCAUUCGGGAAAUGUACGAGAAAAAGUCAUUGCCCAUGGUGUCCACAUGGAUUUCAUAAAUGUUUAGAGGUUGAAAAACAGACACGUAACAAAGGGCGAUUAUUCAACACUCGUAGUAACGAUUGUGGUUUUUUCAAAUAGGUGGUCGAAGAAGACUCAAGUGAACAAUGUAGCGACAUCAACGAGUGAUGACUAUUGCGGGAAAUGAGGAAGUUCAAGAUUUGCCAAGCAUGCUUGAAACUCUAUCCCGAAUAACCGAGAAAUGAGACGUCGAUGUAUCAUUGCAUGUGACAUUUCGCAAGGGAAAAUGAUGCUUGGAAUUGAAUGGGAAAAAAAAGGAUUGGCUUGAUUAUUAGUAUUUCCGUCAAUGGGUUGUUUGGGUUAUAUUUGUAAUUUAAAGACUUGUGUAGCGUUACUUUAUAUUUUGUAUCAAAUUAGAAUUUAUGUAAAUUGCAUCUUAUGUUUCUUCGUUA